CCUGGUACUCCAUCGCACUAUGGUCCAGACGACCCCUUUUGUUGGCCAAAAUUCAAAUUUUAAAAGUUAAAAUAUCGAAGUCAUUUUAAUCGCAUUUUAUUCGGAGAAGACCGACUAUCAAUGCUGCAUACUAAAAAUUUUUAUAGAUGGCGCCACAUUCACGAAAUCGGAACUUAAACUCAGCUGGUCAUACUGAAAAAAGUUUGAAGUGUAAAAGUGAAAAAAAAGAGUCUUUUUCAACAUCACAUUGCGCAAAAAAUACAACAAUUUUACCAAUCUUUAGACAUGAAUAAGAUUCAGUGGGGUUUGUACUACGUGUUGUGUAUAAUGAAAUGUUAUAUAUUGUUGUGGUGUCUUCGUAGUUAUAUGUUAAAGUGAAUCGUCUGAACUGUGAAAAUUGUGUAGAAAUCUCGUUUUUAAAAAGCUGUAGAAAGUGAGUCCAGCCUAGUCCAACCUUGAAACCUUUUCUCAUAACCUAAAAUUCGACAACUCAGAAUUGUUUGAAAUAUGGAAGUCUGUGAAGACCCAAGAACAAAAGUACAAAGCAAUUCUUGAUUUUUUUAAAUCUAAAACUAGUGGCGAAAUAUUUGAGAAAAAAAUGCAAGCUUUUGAGGAUGCCAGUAAGAAAAUAUGCUACCGUUUAAAAAAAUGAAGCUCCCACCUGAAGUCUUGGAAAUGCUCUUAUGCGAAGGGGGCCCAAGUGAAGACUUCGAAUAUGAAGAGGAAUUCGAUGACAGUCUUAAAUACGAACUAAAUUUUGAACUAGAGAAUGAAAAUCAAGAGCUUUUACAACAUUUGGGCCUGUUAAUUAAUCAAAUUUAAAAAGCAUAAUACAAACUUAAACGUUAUCUAUUUCAGAUCCCUGAAGCUGUUUCCUUUAUGUGGAACCCUUAAUUUCAUUGAUUUUUAUUAAAACUGUAUAUUAAUAUUAUGUUUUUGAUCCAAUACAACCAUAUUUUAAAACAUUUAAUAAAAUAAAAAAAAUAUAUAUAAAAA